UGCAGGUCGUGGCGACCACCAACAAGACACCCAACUCCCGCACCCCGAACUACCCUACCCGAGCCUGCCGUCUCAGCUGAUGUGUCAAGUCCACAACAUCACCAUGCAUGCUGACAAGGACAAUGAGGAGGUCUACGCACAGAUGACUCUGCAACCAAUAAACUCUGUGUUGUGUGUUCUGGAAGAUGGAAGAGGAAGAAAACCUAUUUUUGUUGAACUAAAUUUUUUGUAUUCUGUUUUGUUGUACGUAUCAUUUGAUAGUUCUGUAUAGGAACAAGUGAUACUAUUUUGUAGGGCUUUAUGGCCUGUGAUGUAAAACAUAUUUAGUGCUGAAAUAUGAAAUUAUUUGCAAAAUUUGUCGAAAAGGAGGAUCAUAUGUAUGAAUA